ACCAUUAUGUGACAAUGAACCCUCUUAGUACAAGGUGCGUCCGCCCCUAUUAAUUCCUAUUGUUCGCUCUACUAAAAGGAAAACCCUAGCCCCUAUUUCCGAUUUUCUCUCCGAUGGAGAUGUCGUGGGCAGAUGUAGCCAGGGAUAAAGCCGACCGGUAAACAGAAAUUCUCCUUUUUCUUUAUCUUCUCUGUAUUUUUUAGCAUAGUUUUCUUUUUCUUACAAGUAUAAAGUGAUGCUCUCCUUUUUCAAAGAAAUGGCACACAUGCUGAUGUUCAACCUAACAAACAAUAAUUACCAUGGUGAAGUAAUGAGUAUUAGUCAUUGUUUUGUGGAUAUAAUGAGCACAAAUGAGUACAUGCUGAUUUUGUUAAAAAAAAAAGAAAUUGACGGACUUUGAUUGUCUGAAAUUUGUAGAUCCAUAGAAAAUGGCCUAGUGACCUAUAUUCAUUGCUUUGUUAUCACUUUCUUGUUCAUUUUUUUAUAUUUAGGUCACGCAACACGAAUUUUAAUUAUAUCCACUUUUUUGUAUGUAUUAGUACAUAGGUAGUAAGCACUUCUUAUAAAUAAGAAAAUUACAAAAAAUUAACGUUAUGCUAGGCUGGGGCCUGUGUAGCAUGGACACUUCCUCACUAUCCUUUUCAUAAAUGACAAACAUUCUGGACUUGUUACCACGGCUUUUAAUUUGGUUAAGUUUAGUAAAUAAUGAAUGAACUAUAAAACAGAAAAACAUACCUGUCUGGAGUACAAGGCAAGUCAUUUUCAGAUGAAUGAAUAUUGAUAAGUUACAACGAAAACGUUUGAGUCGUCCACACAGUAUAACUUCAAGUUUUCAUAUGAACCAAACUUAUUGUUACAUCAAAUGAAUGAAGGAAUUAUUUGCAAACUAUAAACAAAUACUCUAUUGUAUCGGAAUCUCUUAGGUAUGAAACAUACUGUAAGAAACUUGUCUCCAUUUUGACGUACACAAAGCUAAAAGACAAUCUUCACUUGGGAUUCAUUCAAAGCGCCUGCAGUUUGGCAGCUAUAUCAUCAUAAUCAGGCAGCUUUGGAUGUAAAUGACUAGCUUUAUUCAUACUAUCCUCUCUGGAAAAUUUGUUCCCACUUUGGAUGUUGCUCCGAACUCUACCUUUUGUCUGAUGGGGCUUCAUGCAUCUCACCACUGUAAAAUUUCCUGGUCAGUUUCUGCGGUACUUGUGUAUCAGCAACAUCAGCAACAUAAGAAUUCAUGACAGGUUUCUGGGGUUCCUGUACUUUAGCACUGAAUGAGUUCCUGCUGGAUUUUCUGUCUGAACCCGAGUCGGAAUUAACAGCUGCCUCAUAGCUCAUUUUAAACUUAGAGGAAAAGUUUGUAUCUAAGCUGGAGGAAGAGGCUUUAGUCCUACGAGAGAAUCCACUACCCAAUUGACUUCUACCAGCAAGAGAUUGCUCUUUAGGACCAACCUCGGAACCACUGCUAUCAGAAUCAAAAUAUGUAGUUGAACCUCGUAAGACCGCAUGUUUUGUAUUAACUUUUCUUCCUGUUUUUUGCCUGUAGCUUGAAGUCUCUUGUGAAAAAUCCUCAUAAGAACUGUCAGUAUCUGAAUCAGAACGGGUGCCUUCCAAUCUUGAGCUUGACUUCUCGUCUCCUUUCAUCCUCACUCCUAAACCAACGGAACUCUUAGGGGGGCAACAGCUUGUGACCUCAACUCGGGACUUUCGUGAGGUUUCUCUACUGAAGAUGAAGCAUUAUUUAACUGGCUCCUUAUGUAAGGUGGAGGGAUAUGACCUUUGUACUUAAGGCCACCUGUUAACUUCCCAAAUGUCAAUUCCUUUUCGAAACCAGAAAUUGAAGAAGCUAAAAUACCAUCAUCUGUCUGUGUCCCGGGCAAAGCUGGGGCACUGCCGUCGUCCUUUCUAUUGUAAUUUUGUUCUGUCAUAAUUAGAUUUCUGGGGUAAAUACGGAUCAAUUGGUUUUGUGGCUUUACAAAUUUGUUUUUAGUUUUAUUAAAUCAAGUUUCCUGCAUUAUAAGCUCCUGUAUAUCCUGUGGCACCCCACCAAAAUAAAUGGAGCUCUUUGAUGUAUUUGCUGUUAGUCCAGAUGCCCUUGAAAAUUCCAUGAAACAAUUGUACACCAUUUGAAUAGAAAUAAUGUCACUUCUGCUGAAUAGCAAUAGGUCAUCUGCAAACCCCAACUGGAUGAUAUUUAGUUUGUCACACCUUGGAUGGAAAUUAAAAUCUGGCUCAUUCCUCAAUGUUUUGAAGCUUCUUGUAAGAUACUCCAUUCCCAGUACAAAUAAGAAUGGUGAUAAUGGAUCUCCCUGCCUUAAUCCUCUUCUAGCUUGAAAUGACUCCAUUGGUUUCCCAUUGAUGAGGAUGGAGUAUGAGACUGUUCUUAAGCAUACCAUAAUCCACUUCACAAACUUCUCUGGUAUUCCUAGUUGAUUCAGUACUUGCUCUAGGAAAUCCCAUUCUAUUGAGUCAUAUGCCUUUUGCAGGUCCAGUUUUAUCAUACUUCUAGGAGAUAUGCCUUUUCUUCCAUACCCUUUUACC
rnacentral:lncRNA from 1 species